rnacentral:sRNA from 1 species
AUGUGCUCGUCUACGCAAAUGAAAAAACACCAUGGAUGCGGACAAUAGUCUACGAUGUGAAAUGUAUGCAUAUGAGCAGCCAGCCACCAGGUAUAGCGAAAUUUGCUAUUUAUUUCAAGUGGACCAACAAAUGCUUAUGAAUUAUGAAAUCAGUGUAUCUUUUCUAAUAAUAUAAGAAAGUCAAUAUAUUUAACCAAUUAUUUCAG